rnacentral:misc_RNA from 1 species
GAUGAAGAACGAAGCGAAAUGCGAUAAGUAAUGUGAAUUGCAGAAUUCAGUGAAUCAUCGAAUCUUUGAACGCACAUUGCGCCCGCCAGUAUUCUGGCGGGCAUGCCUGUUCGAGCGUCAUUACAACCCUCAGGCCCCCGGGCCUGGCGUUGGGGAUCGGCGGAAGCCCCCUGCGGGCACAACGCCGUCCCCCAAAUACAGUGGCGGUCCCGCCGCAGCUUCCAUUGCGUAGUAGCUAACACCUCGCAACUGGAGAGCGGCGCGGCCACGCCGUAAAACACCCAACUUCUGAAUGUUGACCUCGAAUCAGGUAGGAAUACCCGCUGAACUUAAGCAUAUCAAUAACGGAGGA